rnacentral:rRNA from 1 species
UACAGAGACUGCAAGCGUUAUUCGGCUUCACUGGGCGUAAAGGGUGCGCAGGCGGCCGAGUGUGUGAGGCGUGAAAGCCCGGGGCUUAACCCCGGAAUUGCACCUCAAACUACACGGCUAGAGCAUUGGAGAGGGUAGCAGAAUUCAUGGUGUAGCAGUGAAAUGCGUAGAGAUCGUAAGGAAGACCAGUGGCGAAGGCGAGUUUCUGGACAGUAACUGACGCUGAGGCACGAAGGCCAGGGGAGCAAACGGG